CCGAAGGAGACGCGGAGGGACAUUACCGAGUUAUACAACUCAUCAACCCUGUGAACAUACCUAAAACGUUGCUUCGGCGGGAACAGACGGCCCCGUAACACGGGCCGCCCCCGCCAGAGGACCCCCUAACUCCUGUUUCUAUUAUGUUUCUUCUGAGUAAAACAAGCAAAUAAAUUAAAACUUUCAACAACGGAUCUCUUGGCUCUGGCAUCGAUGAAGAACGCAGCGAAAUGCGAUAAGUAAUGUGAAUUGCAGAAUUCAGUGAAUCAUCGAAUCUUUGAACGCACAUUGCGCCCGCCAGUAUUCUGGCGGGCAUGCCUGUUCGAGCGUCAUUACAACCCUCAGGCCCCCGGGCCUGGCGUUGGGGAUCGGCGAGGCGCCCCCUGCGGGCACACGCCGUCCCCCCAAAAUACAGUGGCGGUCCCGCCGCAGCUUCCAUUGCGUAGUAGCUAACACCUCGCAACUGGAGAGCGGCGCGGCCACGCCGUAAAACACCCAACUUCUGAAUGUUGACCUCGAAUCAGGUAGGAAUACCCGCUGAACUUAAGCAUAUCAAUAAGCGGAGGAAAAGAAACCAACAGGGAUUGCCCCAGUAACGGCGAGUGAAGCGGCAACAGCUCAAAUUUGAAAUCUGGCUCUCGGGCCCGAGUUGUAAUUUGUAGAGGAUGCUUUUGGUGAGGUGCCUUCCGAGUUCCCUGGAACGGGACGCCAUAGAGGGUGAGAGCCCCGUCUGGUUGGACACCGAUCCUCUGUAAAGCUCCUUCGACGAGUCGAGUAGUUUGGGAAUGCUGCUCUAAAUGGGAGGUAUAUGUCUUCUAAAGCUAAAUACCGGCCAGAGACCGAUAGCGCACAAGUAGAGUGAUCGAAAGAUGAAAAGAACUUUGAAAAGAGAGUUAAACAGUACGUGAAAUUGUUGAAAGGGAAGCGCUUGUGACCAGACUUGGGCUUGGUUUGAUCAUCCGGGGUUCUCCCCGGUGCACUCUUCCGGCCCAGGCCAGCAUCAGUUCGCCCUGGGGGACAAAGGCUUCGGGAAUGUGGCUCUCUCCGGGGAGUGUUAUAGCCCGUUGCGUAAUACCCUGUGGCGGACUGAGGUUCGCGCAUCGCAAGGAUGCCUGCGUAAUUCCCCGUGCGA
rnacentral:rRNA from 1 species